CCUACGGGGGGCUGCAGUGGGGAAUAUCGGACAAUGGGGGGAACCCUGAUCCAGCCAUGCCGCGUGUGUGAAGAAGGCCCUCGGGUUGUAAAGCACUUUCAGUGAGGAAGAACGCCUGGUGGUUAAUACCCAUCAGGAAAGACAUCACUCACAGAAGAAGCACCGGCUAACUCCGUGCCAGCAGCCGCGGUAAUACGGAGGGUGCGAGCGUUAAUCGGAAUUACUGGGCGUAAAGCGCGCGUAGGUGGCUUGAUAAGCCGGUUGUGAAAGCCCCGGGCUCAACCUGGGAACGGCAUCCGGAACUGUCAAGCUAGAGUGCAGGAGAGGAAGGUAGAAUUCCCGGUGUAGCGGUGAAAUGCGUAGAGAUCGGGAGGAAUACCAGUGGCGAAGGCGGCCUUCUGGACUGACACUGACACCGAGGUGCGAAAGCGUGGGUAGCAAACAGGAUUAGAUACCCCAGUAGUC
rnacentral:rRNA from 1 species